rnacentral:tRNA from 1 species
UGAGCUAUGGUGUAAUGGCAGCACGACAGAUUCUGGCUCUGUAAAUCUAGGUUCGACUCCUGGUAGCUCAACAA